UACGGAGGGUGCAAGCGUUGUUCGGAAUUAUUGGGCGUAAAGCGCGUGUAGGCGGUUGUUUAAGUCUGGUGUGAAAGCCCGGGGCUCAACCCCGGAAGUGCAUUGGAUACUGAACAACUUGAGUACGGGAGAGGAAAGUGGAAUUCCGAGUGUAGGGGUGAAAUCCGUAGAUAUUCGGAGGAACACCAGUGGCGAAGGCGGCUUUCUGGACCGAUACUGACGCUGAGACGCGAAAGCGUGGGGAGCAAACAGG
rnacentral:rRNA from 1 species